GGAAAGGUGUCAGAGUGGUCGAAUGAGCAGUCCUGGAAAGACUGUAUACGGGAUGACUGUAUCGAGGGUUCGAAUCCCUCCCUUUCCGCCA
rnacentral:tRNA from 8 species